rnacentral:piRNA from 1 species
UGCAGAGGAAAUUAUUUUUGUCUAUUUG